UACAGAGGUCUCAAGCGUUGUUCGGAAUCACUGGGUUUAAAGGGUGCGUAGGAGGGCAGGUAAGUCAGUGGUGAAAUCCCCGAGCUUAACUUGGGAACUGCCGUUGAUACUAUCUGUCUUGAAUGUUGUGGAGGUGAGCGGAAUAUGUCAUGUAGCGGUGAAAUGCUUAGAUAUGACAUAGAACACCAAUUGCGAAGGCAGCUCGCUACACAAUUAUUGACUCUGAUGCACGAAAGCGUGGGGAUCAAACAGG
rnacentral:rRNA from 1 species